GGGAAGGGGACUGGGCAAGUUAAGAGUAUGGAAUUAACAGGUACAAACUACUGUGUAUAAAAUAGGUAAGCAAUAAGGAUUGACUGUACAGCACAGGGAACCAUAGACAUUAUCUUGUACUAUGCUGCUGCUGCUGCUGCUAAGUCACUUCAGUUUUGUCUGACUCUGUGCUACUCCAUAGACAGCAGCAUACCAGGCUCCUCCGUCCCUGGGAUUCUCCAGGCAAGAACACUGGAGUGGGUUGCCAUUUCCUUCUCCGUAAUCAGUACUGCCGUGAACGCUGCUUGUGCAAUGGCUGCUGUAGCGCCUACGAGUACUGUGUCUCUUGCUGCUGUAGCCCAACAAGCAACUCCUCCUGGAGCGCUUCCUCAACUGGGCAGCUGUGGCAUUCCAGAACCUCUUCAUGGCAGUCGAAGAUCACUUUGAAUUGUGUUUGGCUAAACGCAGGACCUCAUCCCAGUGCACAAUGUUCUGCUUCCUUGCAGAAGGCAAUGGGUCAGACCAAAGGAUGGUUCACCGACUGGGGACACAGUGAAUCCACACUUGGACCCGAAAGAAGCAGGGUCUGAUGGGCAGCCUUCCAGGCCUCGGAGUGACCACAGUCCCCUGCCCCGGCUCCUCACAUGUCACCUGAGGACAGGACCCAGAGGGCCCGCUCUGUUGGGCUGAGGGCCAGAUUCACCCACAGACAUGAUUUUCUUGGAGUGGGGUGAAGAAUUCUGAAUCAAUGGCUAAACACGGAGAAAUCCCACGUGGGACUAGAAGAGGUGGCAGAGGGGCCUUCGGGAGCAUUGGACUUUGGAGCUAUUACCUGAGGCUGAGACCGCUGAGUGAUGGUGGCCAGGUACCAAGCGGCGGCCACGCCGACGUCCCACAUGAGUUAGCAUCACCUGUCAGCUGCCCAUUCAUGUUUGCUCCUGUGGAACUAUUUUCCUGAUGUCUGUCUGUCCAAGCUGGGAAAAUGAAAUCUAGAUUAAAAGAUGUUUGAGAUUUCUCAUACUAACUUACCUUAUCAGGCCUUGGAAGGUGAUGGGGUUUGGGAUAAGCACAGCAGUCUCCUGGGAAAAGCCAGGUCAACUCCAGUUCCCCCAAAUUCCCCUUGGCCGCCUCAUGGCCUUCACUUUGGGCUCCCUGGG
ensembl:lncRNA